rnacentral:lncRNA from 10 species
CAGUGGGCAAGGGUUAGUGGAUUCUCCAAAAAAGCUUACCUGCUAAUGCUUUUUUGGGAGGCCAGAGGCUGAGGCAGGGGUUGCAAAAUAAUUAAGCAAUGGCACCAUCAGAGGAGAAGUGUGCUCUCUAGCGUUUCAACCUGUGGUCUUCCCAUUAGCAUCAAAGCCCUUGGUUGGGAGAACCAAGGCAUUCUGCAGAGUGCUGUCCAGAAGAAACACUAAGACCCGUGCUACCCAGGAGGGUAGGGCAGGAACACAGCAUUAGAAAGAAUGGGAAAAUGAAACUAAGUUCUGUGGGCAGGAAAGCUCCACCUUUCCUCUGGAGACAGAAAAAGAGCAAGAGUCCUAAUGGGGACACUUGGCUAACCAAGCUACGUCUUCCACUGUGUCUCUCGCCCUGAGUUAUCCAGCCCACAGGGCUCCAAGCAGGCAGAUUGGACUUACCUGGGGAGCAGGCUUGAAGGAGGAUAAGCAGAUACAAACUUUUGCACAUCCUCAUAUACCCUGAGAAUGGCACCUCACAGAUGAGCACACCGGUACGAUAAGGGGCAGAGGGAGGAAGAGAGCUUUGCACUGAGAAUGGCGCUCAGAGUUCAGG